ensembl:lncRNA
AUGAUGAAACAGGGAGGAAGGAUUUUUAAAAACACUUCUCUGGAAAUCGUGUCGUCAUCACUGAAAGGGAAUAAAAGGGAGGCGCAGCAAACAGAGAACAUUAGGGACACAGAGGGGGGAAGAUUCCUCAAACGCUGCAGACCACACAGGACCCCGUCUCUGCAAAAGCAACAGGCCUCUCCCAUCACAGAAAUUCAUCCUUGGAGACAUCUCACUCUCCUCUUCCACCCAGCGAUGAAUACGGCAACCCGCUGCAUCAUUCUCCUGGCCUGCGCCGCCAUUUGCACUUCCAACAGUCCAAUUCUGAACUGCCGCUGCGUUAAAAACAGCGAUGCCGUGUCUCGCCAUCUCAUCGCUCGCAUAAAGCAGCUCCCGCCUCGCUGGUACUGCAACAGGGAAGAACUCAUUGCCGUGCUGAAAGAUGGGAGAGAGAAGUGCCUCGCCCCCAACGGGAGGUUCGCCCAAGCGAUCAAGAGAUAUAGAACGUAAGUGACGAAAAGCCGUUCUUCUUUUUUACGUGCGUUGCUCUCUGAUAGUUUACAGCGUGAACUCGGGUUAUUAGAUGAGUGAAAAGGGAGGUUGAGCAACGUGAACGUCACAUCAGUCUGUCGUCACUGUCAGUGACAAAGCUAGAGGGCUCUGUGUUUAAUGCUUCAUCUGUUUACUACUCAAAACGGACUCAAACAUUGAACUGUGUCAAACUGAAAUAAUUCAUGUACGGGUGGACACAGCUUUGAUUUAAGGGGUCACAAGCCAAAAGAGCGGCCGUAAACCAAUCCAACGUUAAACAGCAAAUGCUUCCUCCACAGGCAGAGGGCAAUGACUCGCAAGACCAGCACCACCGGCCCCAAAACCACCGCGGCAUGAGGGCCCACAACGAUUGCACCCUGUUAAACUAUCCGUGACAGCCCUGUUUGAGAUGUAUUCAAGCUUGCCAGUAAUAAUGUGAAGGUUGGUAAAGGUGACAGUUUGUGGAACUGUUUGUAUUUCUACACCACACUGAAUGUAAUUGUCUGUAACGGCUGACCAUGAUGUACAACACUGACUCCUCAAACGUGCUGAAGAACUCCAAUAAAGAUGAACUGUAAAAGAAAAGACAGUUGGGCAUUUUAAAUUAAAUAACUUUUCAUAUUCCAGCAACGAUGAGACACAGAAUGGGCAUAAAAUAUAGAUGUAAAAUAAACAACGUACAUCUGUUCUUAGUUUUUGGUCAUAAAAUGGGGCGUUUUUGCUGAUCAUGCUGACGAGAAUUAAAAAGUCAGUUUCUAAGGAUUCUUUUUAAAACCAGAAGUAGCUGGUUGGCGAAUAUCCGGGGGACCAGCGGCUUGUGACGACCGUCUGUCCUUCUGGCAGGCCGGUGGUCAGUCUUGAUGUCUUUUUGUCAUGCCUUCCCAAAAGGAGAAGUCUCAAAUUUGUCAGUUAUGACACCUUCUGCUGCAAUUGUUAUUGGAACAAUGCUGAUAAAGUAAUAUUUUCGACCCACGGGUCAUAUAGCUCCUGUUUUAACAUACGCCAACAACAGAGUCGCAUCAAUAGGAACAAUAUUUUAGCUGGUGGUCGCGUCUUAAAAUGUAAGUAUUGUCCCAGUUAUACAGACAGAACAAACUGGAAAAGGAUCGCAAGGAUUUUUCCCAAAUUUUGCAGAGUCAUACUGUAAAGAUGCAAAGUCUUCUUGUCAUGUGCCGUUGAGGCUUCGAUUGUGUCGUGUCCUCAGUCACCGGGGAGGGAUGUUGGUCAGGGCAAGUCGGAGGACGCUUUGUCAUCAAAAAGAUGAUUUCAGCUCUAAAAUACAAAUGCAUGUUGCGAGUUUCUGACUAAAGCGAGAGAGACUUAAGAUAACCAGAACUAAUGGAUUGCAACCGUGUGGAGCGGCCCAUUCACAAAAUGUGAAUGUGUAUAUAUAACAUAUAUGUAAUUAUUGUAGUGUUUUUGUGAUCACACAGUGUACGCAAUGUUUUUUCUUGUUGUUAAUAAACGUAUACUUUAUCUAUUUAAAUUGUAAGUGAUUACUUUCAUGUUUACCACUCAUUCAUCAUUGGACACAUUGUGAUUUUGGGAAGUAAAAGUGAAAACAUAAAAAAAAAAAAAAAAACACAUGACAGUUUGAACUGAAAUUACUCAUGAAGAUAAAAGCUGAAAUGAAAUAGCAACAGUUUACUGCCACGAGGUCAGAACCAGCCCCAAAGUAUAAAACCCGUCCACGCCACCUGGCAGCGGGUCCUUUUCAUUUGUUAUUCUCAUUUGUCUUCCUCCGCUGCCGUGUGAAUCCCGGGGGGGGACAGAAGAGAACUCGAGGUGCGUCGCCGUGACUCAUUUCCCCGCCGAGACAAAAGCGUCGUCUUUCAACCUCAACGGGGCCCCUCGUCUGUCCCUGAACUCCCCGUCCCAUGACUGCCUUCUGCUGCACAUGUGAACGCACCCAA